UACGGGGGGGGCAAGCGUUGUUCGGAAUUACUGGGCGUAAAGGGCUCGUAGGCGGCCAACUAAGUCGGAUGUGAAAUCCCCAGGCUCAACCUGGGAACUGCAUCCGAUACUGGAUGGCUUGAAUUCGGGAGAGGGAUGCAGAAUUCCAGGUGUAGCGGUGAAAUGCGUAGAUAUCAGGAGGAACACCGAUGGCGAAGGCAGGUCUCUGGGCCAUAACUGACGCUGAGAAGCGAAAGCAUGGGGAGCGAACAGG
rnacentral:rRNA from 1 species